GGAUGCCCUCCGUCGUCACCCCUUAUAACGCGUUACCCGCUUUCGGACUGGGUCGCUGCGGCGCACCCCCUACUUCCGGAAGCCCAACAUUUCGAGAAAGCGUUCCUUUCUUUUGAAUAGAUGAUUAUGAUCCACUCCAACUGCCAUGGAACUAUUCUUCGUGGCCGAUUGAUGCACGGUCGUCGGCGCCAUUA
rnacentral:rRNA from 1 species